rnacentral:rRNA from 1 species
UGAGGAAUCUUGCGCAAUGGGGGAAACCCUGACGCAGCAACGCCGCGUGAGUGAGGAAGGCCUUCGGGUCGUAAAGCUCUGUCAGAUGGGAAGAAAUGGGUGGGGGCUAAUAUCGUCCAUCCUUGACGGUACCAUCAGAGGAAGCACCGGCUAACUCCGUGCCAGCAGCCGCGGUAAUACGGGGGGUGCAAGCGUUGUUCGGCAUCAUUGGGCGUAAAGCGCGCGCAGGCGGCUUGGUAAGUCAGAGGUGAAAUCCCUGGGCUUAACCCAGGAAGUGCAUUUGAUACUGCCUCGCUAGAGUACGGGAGAGGAAAGUGGAAUUCCUGGUGUAGAGGUGAAAUUCGUAGAUAUCAGGAGGAACACCGGUGGCGAAGGCGACUUUCUGGCCCGAUACUGACGCUCAGGCGCGAAAGCGUGGGGAGUAAACA